ACCGGCUGGCUCGCCGAGCGCUGCCUAAAAAUCCAUCUUCUGCCGGCGGUCGCCGGCUGCUCCGUUUCUUCCUUUUUUCGAGCUCUUCAAGCUCGUUUCCUCAAUUUUUGCAUCCGAAACACUUGUAACUUGAUAUUUGGAUCUUCAACAUCCAUAUGUAGCUUUCAAAACGCUCAAACCUGAAGCAAAAUAACCAAAUCCAUACCCAAACGCAAUAUCACAAAAGAAUAUGAAACCUAAACCAAUUGAUAUCACAAUCAAGCAUAAUUCUAGCACUUUGAACACUUAAACACUCCUAAAAACAAUGCAAAAUGAGUGUUUAUCAGUAUCUAUCAAGAUAGUAGAGACUGUUAUACCCUUCAUCGCAGCUCUGUCACCUUUCAUGACUUGUAUACAACCAUAUCUUAAUGUGAAAUGACAUCCUUUAGACUCCAACAUCCCAAGAGAAAUCAAGUUCCUUUUGAGUUCUGGGAUAUACCUGACCUCUGAUAGGAUUUUGAUUGAUCCAUCUGAGAGUCUCAGCUUCACUUCACCAGUGCCUUUCACUCUGCAAGUCUGAUCAUUUCCAAGCAAAACUUGGCCAAGCUCUCCAUCUUUCAGGUUGAUGAACCAUUCUCUGUGAGGAGUCAUGUGAAAGCUGCACCCGGAGUCUAUAAUCCACUCAUCUACAACUUGUCCUCCCAUGACAUUUAGAACUUCUGCAGUCUGGACAUGCUCCACCAAAUCAGCCUCAUUUCCUUUUUGAUUUUGUUAUCCUUGCUUCUUCUUCCAUGAGAAGCAAUUUUUCUUGAGAUGUCCCUGCUUCUUGCAGAAAUGACAGAUUUUAGUUUCUUUCUCUUGAGAUGGCUUUUUGGAAUCAUUUCCCUGCUUCCCUUUUCCAAAAUUUGAUUUAACAGCUAGACUUUUACCAACUGAUGAUUCUUUCUUACUCGAAUUUGGUUUCCUUAGUUCUUUAGUUUUAAGGCCGAUUGAACCUCCUCAAGGGUGAUAGACUUUCUCUACCAAACAACAUAGCAUCUUUGAAAUUUUCAAAAGACUUAGGCAGUGAAUUCAAAAGAAUGAUCGCCUUAUUCUCAUCAUCCAGCUUGACCUCAAUGUUCUCAAGAUCAUCCAAGAUCUUAUUGAAUUCUUCCAGUUGAUCUUCGAAACCUUUUGAUUCUGAGAUCUUGAAUAAAUAUAGCUUUUGCUUGACAUAUAAGCGAUUGGUGAGAGACUUUUGCAUAUAUGUGACGCCAGGGGAUGAAGUGUGGAGUGAUCGCUGGUGCAAAAGAGGCACGGACAAGGAGCAACUCCGAUUAAGACUUCCAAGCGGAGGGGCGCAUGAAUGAACCGAAACACACCCGAACGAGAGGGAUUCUAAGAAUAUGCAGGUAUGGAACUGCAUAUUCGAGGAGAGUUUAAAUGAUUUGAUAGGUGCUACUCAUAUCAACAAGGUGCAUCUUCUUUUCUGGUGCCCACAUGGAAGAAACUCCAAGGUUAAGCGUGCUUGGCUUGGAGCAAUUUCAGGAUGGGUGACCCCCUAGGAAGUUUCUCGGAGAGCGUGCGAGUGAGGACAAAACACGCUAGAAAAGACUCGUAUUGGUCUAUGGGGACAACCGUCAAGUACGGAGCCGGGCUGUUACAGGUGGUAUUAGAGCCGAACCUCUCCCAGUACGGUGUGGUUCGGGGAUGAACCAAGCGGAAGCUGGUGGGCCUGUGACGCCCGGGGACGAAGUGCGGAGUGAUCGUCGGUGACAAAAGAGGCACAGACAAGGAGCGGCUCCGAUUAAGACUUCCAAGUGAAGGGGUGCAGGGGAUGAACCCGAAACACACCCGAACGAGAAGGAUUCUGAGAAUAUGUAGGUAUGUGACUGCAUAUUCGAGGAGAGCUUAAAUGAUUUGAUAGGUGCUACUCAUAUCAACAAGGUGCAUCUUCUUUUCUGGUGCCCAC
rnacentral:lncRNA from 1 species